AUUGAACGCUGGCGGCAGGCCUAACACAUGCAAGUCGAACGAGGGGCGGACGGGUGAGUAAUCUCUGGGAAACUGCCUGAGGGAGUGGGAUAUCUACUGGAAACGGUAUCAAAUCCCGCACACCAUCAUAUGUCACCAUAUGGGAUGAGCUUGUUGGCGGGGUAACGGCUCACCAAGGCGACGAUCUCUAGCUGGUCGGAGAGGAUGACCAGCCACACUGGAACUGAGAAACGGUCCAGACUCCUACGGGAGGCAGCAGUGGGGAAUAUUGCACAAGGGGCGCAAGCCUGAUGCAGCCAUGCCGCGUGUAUGAAGAAGGCCUUCGGGUUGUAAAGUACUUUCAGCGGGGAGGCGUUACCCGCAGAAGAAGCACCGGCUAACUCCGUGCCAGCAGCCGCGGUAAUAC
rnacentral:rRNA from 1 species